rnacentral:rRNA from 1 species
AUAUUAGUAAGCGGAGGAAAAGAAACUAACUAGGAUUCCCUAAGUAAUGGCGAAUGAACAGGGAGAAGCCCACUGCCCAAUUGUUUUUCGCAAGAGAAGCAGCAUGUGGCUUUGGUGGUUAGCCAGUAACCGCGUUGGCAUGAGUCUCCUGGAAAGGGGCAUCAUGGAGGGUGACAAUCCCGUUCAUGGCUAAUAGCAAAGGUUACGUACGGCUACCGCUGUAGUGAGUCGCGUUCCUUGGGAUUGGAACGUAAAAGGGUGGUAGAUUCCAUCCAAGGCUAAAUAUAAACACGAGACCGAUAGCGCACAAGUA